rnacentral:tRNA from 1 species
GCCGAAGUGGCGAAAUAGGCAGACGCGCAGCGCUCAGAACGCUGUGAGGGGCAACUCUCUUGUGGGUUCGACUCCCGCCUUCGGCA